AAUUUAACUGUGUGAAAUGUAACCUCUCAGACAAGUGCGAGACUUUCUUACACUAAUAUCCUUAAUAGAUUUAGUAUUAGUAAUACUGUUAUUAUACUACAAUUAUGAUGAAGCUGCUGUUUGCUGUUGUCUCUGGAGAUGGUAAACCGGCCUUGGACUGACUGAGAAUAAUAGAUGUAAGCACUGUCAUAUUUGAUGUUUGCAACCCACUCUAAUGCUUUUCCAGGUGCCUGUCUGACCCAGGCCAUCCAGGAGUCACUGAAUGUGAAUCCAGAGGCUGUACAGCAAUUGCAAACAGCUACAAAUGGAGGCUACAAAGCUUCAAUGAUUACUCAUCAUUGCCUUUGUUAAAGCUGAUUAACGGACCUUAGCCAAGCAGCCAGAUCCUGAUCAUCAACAGUUAUAGAUGCUCUCUGCAUAUGAACUGAUUUUACCUGACAGUACCUAAGGAAGUGUACAGGAAGAAACAGACCUGGUUGAUUGUUUUAUUUUUUAAAUUAAAGUAAUGCUAUAACUAUAGCGUUAUCAUUGAAUUUAGUACAAUGAUAUGUUACAUUACUGCAUUGCUUUAAAAUAUACUGUGAUUACUGUAAUGCAUUACUUUGGAACAAGCGACAAUCAGUUUUAUUUGAGUUUUAUUUACUCAGGUUUUUCCAUAGAAUUUCUUCUUGGCUAACUUUUACACAAUCAGACAAAGGUAUGUGGUAGUUAAACAAUAUAAUACUCUACAAACU